CUAGCUUACGAGACACAGUUAUAUUGAGCAUAUGGCCGACUCCGAUCACAAGGACGCGAUGGACAAAGCGACCCAUGACAAGUCCGUCCCUCCACAACAUUUUUAUACGACUUCCCCAAACAACUCAGCGGGAACUUCUACUGCAACAAUUGCCCCGAAUAAAGAACCGGUUGCCAGUGCGAUGAGUACUGGAUCACAGCCUUCAUUAAAGAACGAUGAGAACCGUGCACCUUCUG